AUCCAACUGACGAGUCUCGAACAGGAUAAACGCUCGUCCUGGAU
rnacentral:hammerhead_ribozyme from 1 species